UAUGAGUGUACUGUUCCUGCAGCGUAGGCCAAGAUACCCAGACUUUUAGCCUCUGGAAGGGAUCUUCUACCUCCAUAAAACACCCAAUGGCAUUGGUGUCCACACCUGUUUGGUUUCCCUUGUGUUUCCUGUUUUAUUUUGUAAUCAAGUUUUACUUCCUGUCUUUCUUUGAUUCAUGUCUGGAUGCCUCUCCCCUCAUUGUUCUCACCUGUCUCUCGUUACGCCAUCAGCCCUUCAGAGAGUAUAUCUAACCCUGCCUUUCCUUUUGUCCUUGGUCAAGUCCUUCUGUUUGGUUCCGGUGGUGGAGGACCCAAAUGCAGGACACAGAGUUAGACAGAACUGGGGGGGGGUGAAUUACAGAUUAGGGAACAAAAGGCAGUGCAGGAAAGGAACGGCCUCAAAUAACACAACUCCAAAAACAGUUGAGAACCAAGAUGAGAACACAGGAACGUGGGGGAGCACGAGGGACCGGACGGCGAAACAAACGGGGAAUCAUCAGAGGAAUGAAAACAGCAUGACUUUGAUUUUGACUUCGUCUCUCGGGGCUUUUCCACUCCAGGAACUUAACAACCAAGAGUGAACUGAGAAGGAGGAGGGAUCUUUGGCACCGACGGCAAGAGUGGGUAGCAAAAAGGAAAGAAAAAGAGAGCUUACUUGGAGUAAUACCGUCAUUUUUUUUUGGAUCUGCUGCAGUGCUGUGAAACUGAAUAGAGUGUAUAUGCGUAAAAUAAUAAAUGAAUAACAGCGGCAUGAUUUAUGUAAAUCAUUGAUGCCUACCUUUGUCACUAUCUCGUCUUGUGAUAAAGCAUGAAUAUUUUACCUCACUGAAUGCCAUUUACUGGUAUAACUACAUGCUGUCACGGAAUUCUGGGUAGGAUUUUCCUCAUGUAUGGACUCAUAAGAUAAAAAUGCCUGUUAAUAAUUAA